AGCUUUGCGAAGAGGCGAUAUCGUAACCAAUGAGGAUUAUCCGAGGUGCGAUUAUUAUUAAUUGAUAUUGAUCAAUUAAACAAUUUAUGCUCAAUCAUUGGUCAAUUUUCUCGCAAUUAUUUGGCCUCUUUUAAUAUUCCGCUUAAAAAAACAAUAGAACCGGA
rnacentral:snRNA from 1 species